rnacentral:rRNA from 1 species
CUUCCGGAGCUAACGCGUUAAGUAGACCGCYUGGGGAGUACGGCCGCAAGGUUAAAACUCAAAUGAAUUGACGGGGGCCCGCACAAGCGGUGGAGCAUGUGGUUUAAUUCGAUGCAACGCGAAGAACCUUACCUGGUCUUGACAUCCACGGAAGWWUUCAGAGAUGRRWWUGUGCCUUCGGGAACCGUGAGACAGGUGCUGCAUGGCUGUCGUCAGCUCGUGUUGUGAAAUGUUGGGUUAAGUCCCGCAACGAGCGCAACCCUUAUCCUUUGUUGCCAGCGAUUAGGUCGGGAACUCAAAGGAGACUGCCAGUGAUAAACUGGAGGAAGGUGGGGAUGACGUCAAGUCAUCAUGGCCCUUACGACCAGGGCUACACACGUGCUACAAUGGCGCAUACAAAGAGAAGCGACCUCGCGAGAGCAAGCGGACCUCAUAAA